rnacentral:rRNA from 1 species
AGCCUUUAGCCCUCCAAGUAUUAAAGGUAACGCCUGCCCAGUGAAACAUUUAACGGCCGCGGUACCCUAACCGUGCAAAGGUAGCGUAAUCACUUGUCUCCUAAAUAGAGACCUGUAUGAACGGCUAAAUGAAGACUAAACUGUCUCCUUUAACUAAUCAGUGAAACUGAUCUAUCAGUACAAAAGCUGAUAUAAAACCAUAAGACGAGAAGACCCUGUGGAGCUUUAAAUCCACAACCAAUACAAACACCGACACAAUAACACUAUGGUUAGCAAUUUUAAGUUGGGGCGACUUCGGAAUAAAGCCAAACUUCCGAGCAUACAGAGAGUUAAUCUAAUUAAGGCCUACACGCCAAGACAAAAAUUGACCCAGUAGAGCUGAUCAACGAACCAAGUUACCCCAGGGAUAACAGCGCCAUCUUCUUCAAGAGUUCAUAUCGACAAGAAGGUUUACGACCUCGAUGUUGGAUCAGGACACCCAAAUGGUGCAGCCGCUAUUAAAGGUUCGUUUGUUCAACGAUUAAUAGUCCU